rnacentral:rRNA from 1 species
AAUGAACGUUGGCGGCGUGGAUUAGGCAUGCAAGUCGAGCGCGAUUCCCCGCAAGGGGAGGAAAGCGGCGAAAGGGAGAGGAACACGUGGAUUAUCUACCCUCCGGACCGGGAUAGCUACGGGAAACUGUAGGUAAUACCGGAUAACAUCUAAGGAUCAAAUGGUGUGAUUCCGCCGGGGGAUGAGUCCGCGUCCUAUUAGCUAGUUGGUGAGGUAACGGCUCACCAAGGCCAUGAUGGGUAGCGGGUGUGAGAGCAUGACCCGCCUCACUGGGACUGAGACACUGCCCAGACACCUACGGGUGGCUG